UUUAAAAUGUCAAAUGAAAUAAUAAAUAAUAAAACACUUGAAUAAUUUUGAACGAAAGGGAAUACGGUUCCAAUUCCGUAACCUGUUGAGUAUCCGUUUGUUAUUAAAUAUGGGCCUCGUGCUCAUCCUGGCAACAGGAACGACCAUAAAGAAGCCGUCGAGAGGUAUCGGAAGAGUUUUCUUUUCUGUUUUAUAGCCGUACUACCAUGGAAGUCUUUCGCAGAGAGAUAUGGUAGAUGGGCUAGAAGAGCAUGACAUAUACUGUUGUGUCGAUAUUUUCUCCUCGGACCUUGAAAAUUUAUGGUGGGGAUACGCAAACUUCUCAACAGGCCGUACCAAUAUCCGCAGCUGGUCUCCAAGGUGAAGAGUCUCUAGUCGAUAGAAUAAUGUAGGUAAGGGAAGUCGGCAAAUUAGAUCCGUAACUUCGGGAUAAGGAUUGGCUCUGAAGAUUGAGAUAGUCGGGCUUGAUUGGGAAACAAUAACAUGGUUUAUGUGCUCGUUCUGGGUAAAUAGAGUUUCUAUCAUUUAUGAUAGUUAUUUGUUCCCCGGAUAGUUAGUUACGUAGCCAAUUGUGGAACUUUCUUGCUAAAAUUUUUAAGAAUACUAAUUUUUAAUUAGUUCUUUUAAAUUAUAACGAUUAUCAAUUAACAAUCAAUUCAGAACUGGCACGGACUUGGGGAAUCCGACUGUCUAAUUAAAACAAAGCAUUGUGAUGGCCCUAGCGGGUGUUGACACAAUGUGAUUUCUGCCCAGUGCUCUGAAUGUCAAAGUGAAGAAAUUCAAGUAAGCGCGGGUCAAAACAAGUAAUGACGAAUCCCAGCACAUGCUCUUGCGAUAAUACAAGAUUCCGUAUGGAACAUUCGCUUGAGACGGUUUGGUCAGCGAUAACGCCACGCGACCUGAGGGAAAAUAAGUUAAAGUUGUCAAGUGCUCCGGGUCCUGACGGUAUCACUCCAAGAACAGCCAGGAGUGUACCCUUAGGCAUUAUGCUACGCAUAAUGAACCUGAUUCUCUGGUGCGGCAAAAUACCAUUCUCUACCCGACUGGCCAGAACUAUCUUCAUUCCGAAGACUGUGACGGCAAAUCGACCGCAAGACUUUCGUCCAAUAACAGUCCCCUCGGUUUUGGUCAGGCAAUUAAACGCUGUUCUGGCUUCUCGAUUGGCUUCUAAAGUCAACUGGGAUCCAAGGCAGCGCGGUUUCCUACCUACCGAUGGGUGUGCUGAUAAUGCGACGUUGGUUGAUCUCAUUUUGCGGGAGCACCAUAAACGGUGGAAGUCAUGUUACCUUGCGACGGUGGAUGUCAGCAAGGCUUUUGACUCAGUAUCACACCAGGCCAUUAUCAAGACUUUACAGGCCUAUGGUGCUCCAACAAACUUUGUCAGCUUCAUAGAAGAACAGUAUAAGGGCGCCGGAACCUCCCUCAAUGGGGCAGGAUGGAGUUCAGAGGUGUUUAUACCCGCGCGGGGCGUUAAGCAAGGUGACCCUCUGUCUCCACUAUUAUUUAAUCUUAUCAUUGAUAGAUUACUUAGGUCCUACCCCAGAGAGAUUGGUGCCAAAGUCGGAAAUACCAUGACAAGCGCGGCAGCGUUCGCGGAUGAUCUGGUGCUAUUUGCGGAAACUCCGAUGGGGCUUCAAACAUUGUUGGAUACCACGGUAGGCUUCCUAGCCUCCGUGGGACUCUCCCUUAAUGCUGAUAAGUGCUUCACUGUCAGU
rnacentral:ncRNA from 1 species